rnacentral:rRNA from 1 species
GAUGAACGCUGGCGGCGUGCCUAAUACAUGCAAGUCGAGCGAACGGACGAGAAGCUUGCUUCUCUGAUGUUAGCGGCGGACGGGUGAGUAACACGUGGAUAACCUACCUAUAAGACUGGGAUAACUUCGGGAAACCGGAGCUAAUACCGGAUACUAUUUUGAACCGCAUGGUUCAAAAGUGAAAGACGGUCUUGCUGUCACUUAUAGAUGGAUCCGCGCUGCAUUAGCUAGUUGGUAAGGUAACGGCUUACCAAGGCAACGAUGCAUAGCCGACCUGAGAGGGUGAUCGGCCACACUGGAACUGAGACACGGUCCAGACUCCUACGGGAGGCAGCAGUAGGGAAUCUUCCGCAAUGGGCGAAAGCCUGACGGAGCAACGCCGCGUGAGUGAUGAAGGUCUUCGGAUCGUAAACCUCUGUUAUUAGGGAAGAACAUAUGUGUAAGAAGCUGUGCACAUCAUGACGGUACCUAAACAAAAAGCCACGGCUAACUACGUG